rnacentral:lncRNA from 1 species
UCAAAUCAAAGAAAGGUAGACGUGUUCGACACUUGAUUUGGUUAAGUACUAAUUGGAGUAUUUGGAGAUUGAGAAAUAAUAUUAUUUUUCGAGGGGCGGUGGCGAAUGUGUCCGAGUUGGUUGACAAUAUCAUGGCGAUCUCGUGGUUUUGGUUUAGUGGUCGGGCCGGUAUUAAGUCUGUUUAUUCUUAUUCCGAUUGGUGC